rnacentral:rRNA from 1 species
ACGGGUGAGUAACGCGUGGGAAUCUACCGUGCCCUGCGGAAUAGCUCCGGGAAACUGGAAUUAAUACCGCAUACGCCCUACGGGGGAAAGAUUUAUCGGGGUAUGAUGAGCCCGCGUUGGAUUAGCUAGUUGGUGGGGUAAAGGCCUACCAAGGCGACGAUCCAUAGCUGGUCUGGGAGGAUGAUCAGCCACAUUGGGACUGAGACACGGCCCAAACUCCUACGGGAGGCAGCAGUGGGGAAUAUUGGACAAUGGGCGCAAGCCUGAUCCAGCCAUGCCGCGUGAGUGAUGAAGGCCUUAGGGUUGUAAAGCUCUUUCACCGGAGAAGAUAAUGACGGUAUCCGGAGAAGAAGCCCCGGCUAACUUCGUGCCAGCAGCCGCGGUAAUACGAAGGGGGCUAGCGUUGUUCGGAAUUACUGGGCGUAAAGCGCACGUAGGCGGAUAUUUAAGUCAGGGGUGAAAUCCCAGAGCUCAACUCUGGAACUGCCUUUGAUACUGGGUAUCUUGAGUAUGGAAGAGGUAAGUGGAAUUCCGAGUGUAGAGGUGAAAUUCGUAGG